rnacentral:rRNA from 1 species
AUGGCCGCCAGUCCCAGAUCUGUGACCUCGUCGUUCCGGCCGCCGGGUGAGCGCCCUGUGGUGUCGGGUCUAGGGAUCUCCUCCGGGUCCGAGGGUUCGGACGCGCAGGGGCCUGCUGCGGCGGAGCUCGACGCUCCUGCUCCGAGGGACGGACAUGCUCCGUGGGAGCGCCCGCCUCCCUCCAAGAAAGAGCUCUGGAGGAUGAGGCGCAGCCCUGUUGGCCCGACCGUGCGCUCGCCAACGGCGCGGCCUGCGUCGCCGCCCGUUGUGGUUGCCCCGGAGAUGCGUGACAAGUGCUUCAAGUGUUUGGAGAAGGGCCACUACAAGAAGGAGUGCACCAAUCAGAUUGUCUGCUUCAGAUGUGGCUUGCCCGGCCAUGGCUCCCGGGACUGCAAGAGGCCGAGGAGCCCGUCGUCGGUGGACGACCUCCGCAGGAAGGCGGUGGCCAAGGUGGCGCACCGCUCAUCUCCCCCGCCGCGGUUGGCGCCGGCGUCCGCACCCCAAGGUGUCAGCUUGUCGGUUCAGAACGUGGCGCCGGGUGUCGACGUGGAGUGGCCACCUCUGGCGCCGCCGCAUCUGCAAGUGGAGAGCAGAGUCGAGGAGGCGCCGGCGGAGCUCUGCGUCGUCAAGCGCUCUGCUGUUGUGUCCGACCUUGAGCGGCGCCUCCAGUUCGCCAUGGUGGCCUACGUGGCUGGUCAAAGGAGGGUUCUUGCACUGGCGCGUGUGAAGAAGAUCCUCGCCGGGAAGCUCGACAUCGCCCCGGAGCUCGUCUCGGUGCACUGCUACAGGCCGGAGGACUUUUUGGUGGUCUUUGCGACCGCGGAGAUGCGGAACAGAGUGACGACGUGCCCCUCGGUGGAGUUUGAAGGUGAUCGUCUGAUUUUCAGGCCAUGGAAUAGGCAAUCACAGGCAGUCCAUUCGGUGUUCGGAUUCAAGGUGUGCCUGGUGAUCGAGGGCAUCCCCCCCCAUGCGUGGGAUUGCUCUGUGGUGGAGGAACUGCUUGGGUCUUCUUGCAAGGUGGAGGAGGUGGCUCCUGAGACGGCUUCCCGCUCUGAUCUGUCCUCGUUCAAGCUCACGGCAUGGACGGCGAGCCCGGAAGAGAUUCCUGCUCUCAGAUGGCUGGCGGUGCCGGAGCCUGGACUGGAGGCGCCGCCCGCUCUCCUGCAGUACAAGGUGCUCAUACACACCGACAUGAUCAUGGAUCUGAGAGAGGCUGGCGAGCCUUGGUUCUUUGGGAGCUCGUCGGGCUGCGGCCAAAGUGGCCUCCCCGACGACGACGACAUUGCGGGCGGCGGACCCAGAUCGCGCAGGCUGGUGUGGCAGUUUGGGGUCCCUGACACCCGCUCCGGCGGCCUGGGCGGCGUCGCCGCUGGUGGCGGGGGUGGGGCCUGGUCCAGACCGUUGGGACACGAUUGGCGCCUCCCUCCCAUGGAGGCCACGCCGGUCGCUACGCCUGGGGCCCCACCAAUCCCUAUCCUGUGCAGGCUGACGAGAUGA